rnacentral:misc_RNA from 1 species
AUUUGGUUUUUCAUUUCUCAAAAGUUGACGUUUAGCUUUGAAAGAAUAAAAAGAUCAUACAAGUUUGAUCUACAAAAUAUUUUAAGAAAAAAAAUACACGAUAUCAAAGAACAUUGGGCAUUAAGCUAGAGGGAAAUUGCUAAAAGUCUAUUUGGAUAGGUGAUACAUUCAUGUUCAAAAUCCAUCAACCCUGCAAGAGCGGCUUAAACUCAGGAACAAUAUGCUUUGCAAACACUCAGAAGGAUAAUAGACCUAUCCCUUGUUGGGAGUGAAGCCAGACAUCGACAACCUGGUCCUACAUCUGUUGGCUAGAAAAACUUGGAGGCAUUGGAGGCCUGCCCACCUGAGCACCAGGAGUGAAAUUUGCCAUUGCACCACUACCACCAGGAGGAGGAGGUGGGGCGGGUGGAGUGCCACCAGGAGGCAUCGGCCUGGGACCAUUUGCCAUUGGAGGUGGAGGAGGUAAUGAUCCAGGAAUUGGUGGUGGAGGUGGUCUAGAUCCUGCUGGUAGUCCUUGUGGUGGAGGUGGUGGAGGUGGUGGAGCUUGGGGAGGGGGCGGCAAAGACCUUGGUGGGACACCAGGAGCAGAUAUGCCAUUUGCUGCAGGGGCAGAUUGAGGUUUGUUUGCUUCUGCUGGCUUGGAUUUAAAAUAUAACUGCAACGUGAACAUCUUUGAGUCAGGAUCCCAAUGUGAGAAGAACUUCGGAGUGGAUUUAUCAAUUUCUGUGCUAGGAACCUUGAAAGCAAUGAUCUCAUAAGGUUCUGCAGCAAAUAAAAGAUACUGGUAUCUCUUGUCAUAGGGUUGCACUUUCUGCUCAAAAGAUGACAUAAAUCGAUGUCUUGGUUUUGUAUUGUCUUCUAUCUCAGGAUAUUCAAUCUGGAAGAGAAGAGAUCUCUGCUUUGUCUCUGGAUCAAAUUGCUUUGUAACUCGGUACCCAGGCCUUCCAAUUUUAACUGCACCGAGACCAAAAACACACACACUCUUUAGUUUAUGAUCUGAUAACCACAUCACUGCCAUGCCUCUUGCAUUAAGUGGUUAAAUUUUCUUUAAAAAUGAAGGAUAAAAUACAAAAGAAUUAGAUGCAGUCAACACUAACAAAUGCAAGUUAUUUGUCAUUUCCAAGUACACAUGCACAAUAUUUCGGAUUCAGAGCAGAAAUCUCCUAGCUUGGUUCUAAAUUAAGUCACAUAUACACACUUGCGAGUUCAGACAUUAAGGAGCAAUCUAAGUUCUCCAAUCAACCAUAUAUGAUCUUUAAUAUAUCAAUAAUGUAAAUCAAAUAAAUCAAUAAAAUAUAUGAAGAAAUCAAGUGUGGUUAAUGCUCAAAUUCAGAAAUAGGUGAAAAGCUCUAAGCAUUCCUACUGUGAAGUUCAUAUCUACCAUAUUUGGGCUAAAGAGUAAGGACUUCAUGACAAAGCCGCCACAAGUGAACAGUUUGACUUUGGGGGCAACGCAAAAAUUCAUAACAUUCAUAUCCACAAAGAAAAGUCUAUCCUGAUUUUCUAUGCCAGCCCUACACAAAUUCGCAUUCCAGCACUAAGUUUUUUCAAGCAAAAACCAAGGAGGUAAAACAACAAACCUAGUAGGGGCUACGAUCUACAUGGAUAUUUCGUUUCUACUCAUACAAUGGCGUGGCUAUAAUCCUUUAGUAAACCCUUGACACUUAUAUCUUGGCUUCUGGGGUUCACUAUAUCUCACUAGACAACAAUCUUUCACUAUUCACGUCAAUAAUUUCUAAUUUUCAUCAUCCAAACAGAAAAUCACCUUCCCGGUUAACAAAAAUCCCAUACAGAACUUCUCACAGCCCAUGCUAGCUUGAAAAAUAAAAUCAGUAUCACAUAAAUUUGAGCAAAUAUAUUAACAAUUUCAGAAAAACCAGGUAUGCCCAAUUAUCAAAAACCCUAAUUGAUGAAGUGAAACAGCAGAAAACAGAUACAAACAAAACACAAAGGGGCCAGCUUGCCUGUCUUGCGAAUGUUAACCUUGCGCUUGUUGGGCUGGGGGAGAGCAGGAGCCUCCUUAGCCUCGCGAGCAGCUCUCUUGGCCAAAUUGGUCUGGUGUCUCUUCCCUUGAGUGUGAGCCAAAUAGUUCCCUUCAUUGUUGUGCAAAGUCAGACACAGCUUACACUCAUAA